UUUAAGAAACAGACCGGAAUCUUCGAGCACCAUGCUCACUAAACAUGAUUAUGAACUUGCCAUCCAGUUGCACGCACACGCGAGACAAAGUCACAACAACACAAGCACACAAUCCAAGAGAAGAGCACAAAAGACGGCGUGACAGAGUUACAACUCACAGCACGAGCUCAAAUCUUUAACUAGCAAAGCAAUGGCGGUGUUGUAAAAUGUUCAAGGGUUGCUUGGUGUUGAGCUCCAUGCGCCAAGGGGUCCCUUUUAUAGCCUCAAGGGAGCUAGGAGCCGUCGGAGCUCCAUUUGGAAGGCCCUGGUUGCCUUCUGCCUGUGGGCGCAAUGGACAGUCUAGUGCACCACCGAACAAUGAAAAGUGCACAAUUUCCUUCCUUAUUCGGUGAAGACGAUCAUUGCCAGCCACUGGUCCCAUGACACACCGGACAGUCCGGUGUUGCCUGCUGACCGUUGGCUGAGCCACGUGUCGCCCGCUGAUCGUGCGGUCGACCGUUGGCUAGGUGAGCGGCUGGCACACCGGACAGUCCAUUGAAUUAUAGCCGCGGCGCCCAGUGUUUUUCUUGAGAGCGGCUAGUUCGCUGAGCGCGCCAGUGUCCGGUGCACACCGAACACUCUGGUGCAUCAUAGGCUGGUGCAAGUUUGGCUGAACUUAGCCAACUUUUCCCUUUCAAUUUCUCUCGAUUGCAGAAGAUUCCUAGCACUUAAUAGAACAUAGUUAGUACCUAAAACAAUUUACUAAGUGCUAGAGUCAUACCUUUGUUUCUCUAAUUUUCUUUUCUUUAACUCUGCGCUCAUAUUAGUAAAACAAAAUGUGUUGAGCAUCUAAUCACCAAAACACUGUAGAAAUGGCCCAAGGGCACAUUUCCCUUUUAGCACCAACCUGCUGCCACAAAUUUCUCUGCCUCCAAAGCUCUUCUGUUUUGUUCAAGUGUUUUCGCAAAGCUUUGACAAUCUAUCAAUGGCUAGGGUUCGUUCAACUACCAAAUUAGUUGUUGAGGGUGAAGCACCAGAUACUGUUGAGACAGUCCCUAAUUCUGAUGUAAUGAGGGCAUCGGGUACAACUGAGCCAAAGGUCAACGAGGCGGGGGAUGCUCCAGAGGGGAGUGGUUCUGAUAUUGAAGCUAGCAGUGAUGAAGACGAUCACAACAUACUUUGGCCUAACAAGCCGAGUCACAUUGACUUUGGUGAGUCCACCGUGAAACUCGAAGAUCUUGAUGUCUGAAAAGGCUUGGGUAUAUUGGUGUGAAAGAGGAUGAUAUGGUUAGAUUUGCUGGUAGCAAAACCAUUCCAGAGCCGAAGAGUGACGAAAUGGUUGUGUUUAGAAGCUUCUUCCUGGUCGGGAUUCGAUUUGUGAUGUGUGACAUGAUUGUCGAAAUCCUGAAAAAGUUUGAAAUAUUCAUAAAUCAACUAACACCAAAUGCAAUUGUUAGACUUAGUAUUUACAUGUGGGUCUUGAGGAUCCAAGGCAUGAGUGCAAAUGUUGAAUGUUUUUGUAGAGUUCAUGAGCUCCAUUAUCAGACAAAGGUAAGGCCAUUAGACAAACUGCAUAACUACUUUGGGUGCUACAACUUUGCGUAUCAAAUGGAUGUUAAAGCUCAAGUGUUGGGAUAUCGUACGAAGUGGCCGACGGGCUGGACCAAAGAGUGGUUUUAUAUGAAGGCUAACUGUAAGGGCAUGGAGAAGUUCAAAGAGAUUAUAAUGAGUCAUAUGAGGUUAAACUUUGGCUUGACGAGGCCACUUUGCAACAAGAUUUUGGGCUCAUUAUCGCAACUAGCCUAGAUUACCUUUAGCACCGUGAUCGAGCAUAUUAGUACUCGAGAUUUGGUACAAUAAUUCCUUAUGAACAAGGUAUUCCCAACACUGGCUGGUUAGGGGAUGUUGAAGCUGUGGGAGGGGUUGACAAAGGGACCCUCAUGAGAUUGCCAUAUCGGUUGAAGGAACAAGCUAUGUUCAAGGGCCCGUGUGCUAGGUGGCUGAAGAUGAUUGAAAUGAUGUGCAAUGAAAUUCUUGGUAAUUUUACGAAGAAGGUAGACCAGUUAAUGAAUGCAGCCUUCGGAAGUCGGGGAAAGCAAAGGUUGAACAGAGUCAUGGAUGCUUUGAAAUUUGAGUAUCUGGAUUGCCCGAAGAUUUUAGAAGAAGAUGCUAUUGGUGUGAAAAGAAAAUGAAUGUUAGCAUUAUGAAAAGGCAAGCAAUAAGGUCUAUGGAAGAGAGGAAGAAGAAAAAAUCAGUUGUAAAGCCGAAGACUAAAAAGGCUAAGGAAGGGGAGUCUUCUCACUCGAGAACAAUAUCGACUCCUUUGAAGAAGCAAAAACUAGCGAAGCCUGAUCGCGCUAGUAAGAAGUCUUUAGAGUUAUCAAAGAAGGUUACUGAGACUUUGAUGACUCCGUCUCUUGGGGCUACGGAGAUACUAAAGGUAAUGAUGUGACCCUUACCUUUCUCUACAUUGAGUUCCUUGGGAUCAAACCUGACUAGCCUAUUGUUGACGAUGAAGGGCAAGAAUGUCGAAGAAGAGAUAGGUAAAGCUCCUUCAGAUGUGGCCAUAGAAGAAUCGACAAGAACACAGGCCAAAGAAGCAACGUAGAAAAAACACUGGAUAAAGACAGUGAUGAGGGAAGUUUUACAAAACUCCCCCAGCAAAAGAGAAGAAGAUUUCAAACGUGAGGGAAGACAUUGAAGGUGCUGAAACGGAGCAAAAAUGCCAAAGCAAGUGGAGGUGCCGAAGCAACCACCAUGGCUUCUAUUGAUAGAAUAAUCGAAGAGUUGAGGUCUAAAAAAGCAAAUGAGGAGGUAGUAAUGGUAGCAAAGGUCGCAAAAAAUAAAAAGGUUGGAGCAAAGGUUUUGCCUACAAAAGAGGUCGAAGCUGGAAAUUCUUCGAGUAAAGACAAAACCUUCGACUUGAGACAUUUGGUUGCUGGGGAUUUAAGUGUUGAAUAUAUUUUUGAAUUAAGGGAAUUUGAUAUUGCGGGUGGGUAUGAACCCGAUGCAAUUCUUUUUAGUGGUGUUGAUGACGAUGUGUUGGAGUGUGUACCUGACCGCGAUGGAGCUAAGUUGUUAAUACUUUGACGAAGUCUAUUGGAUUUUCGAAGCUAGAAAGUGAAUUGAGCGGUAUAAGGAAACAACAUAUCGUCGAAAGUUUAAUUUAUUCAAACAUUAAGGUAGGGUUCAUUUAUGCAACAUUUUUUGUUUAUUAAAUAAUAAGAGUAAAAUGACUAAAACCUUUUUGUCCUUCGGAAAUAUGUAGAGUUUUUUUAUGAGCAAAGCUUGAAAGCUUCAACAGGCUUUGGAAGAUCAUAAGAACGAGUUUAUUAUUUCUGACUUAUAACUAAGAUUGAAACUCUUCAAGAAUUGAUCAAGGAAAAGAUGCUAUAGUGCAAUCACUAAGUGCUGAUUUAACCGAAGCUCAAAAAUCCAAUGAAGAUAUAGAAGCAGAGAAAUAACUCAACGAACAAAAGAUUGCAAGUCAAGAUAAAUAUAUCCAAGAAUCAAGAGAUUAGAUGGAUAAGAUUAUGACAAAUCAUGCCGAUGGCGUCUCACGACUUCAACAUGAACUCAACAAAGAAUUAGGUAUGCUCAUUUAUAAAGAGGAGCAUAGGGGUCGUACCAUCAUGAUCCUCCCCAACAAUCAUUACUUGGCGACAAAACAACACCUCUUGAGAUCACGGUGCGGUGGCCGAGUAGCAUCCCUGAGCACACCUUGUCUUUCGUAAGCCCGUUGGUAAACCACGAAGGCCCAAUCAACCCGAGCGAAAACGUAUAUAGCACCCAAACGAGAAUGGUUCGUGUCCAACAUCCUCGGAUGCCCGAAGGUCUCAGCCUCCUUCGGAUCAUGAACCACAAAGAUCCUCUGAAGGAACACUUUGUUUCCUCCGAAGGCUCGGGGGGGCUACUAUCAGGGGUAAUAACCCCCAAGGACCCAAAGCUCAUCGGUCCAGGAAAGGAAAAAGCAUGCCCAAACCUGCCUAGACAAAACCCACCCUACUCUGGCAGACAGAGGCAAGCCAUGGGUACCCACCCCUCCCCAGCUUCGACGUAAACCAUAAAUGGGUCGAACAUGCCUGAAGCUGAUUCCUAUGGUCAAGCGAGACACACCUAGCUCACAGCCGGAUUGCACCCAUAUCAAGACGAACCAUCCCAUGGACAAGGUCGAUCCUCCACAUCACUUUCAACCUUAGAAGCCCGCCAAGGAAGAAUGGAGGUACGAAUAAACCACAUAGUGUUAUCUGCCCUGCAACGCCUACUCUAGCUUAGGCCUCCAGCUGAGGUCAGGAGAACCCCCAACCUCCAUGGCAAGGUCUGACGCACACUUUGCAACCCACAAACCUCACAUACGCAACCUCGCCAAGGAAGUGAACAAAGCUGCAAACCCCGAUGGCAGGCAACAUCAGUAGAGAAAGAAGCUUGACCAUCUCAUAGGGAGAGGAGACCCCUAACAAGAAAGGAGAGACAACACAGAAAGUACGAUAUGAACUCUCACACCUCACAUAGACUUGGAAACUCUCUUUCUUACCCGUUUGUAACUCCCUACUACAAACAAUCAGGUGUUGGUAGCGCGAGUCACCGAAGACUGAAGUAGGGAAAAAUUCAAUUUGAACAUGUAUAACCUUUGCGUCCACCGCGCACACCAUCCAGACCUAAAACAUGCAUACACAAAUUUACUGGUUGGUGCUUAUUCGUAACACCGGCAAUGAUCAAUUGUGAAAUAUUGAGCUUCUACUUAUGAAUUUCGCAUCGUA